rnacentral:rRNA from 1 species
CCUACGGGCGGCUGCAGUGGGGAAUAUUGUACAAUGGGCGCAAGCCUGAUGCAGCCAUGCCGCGUGUGUGAAGAAGGCCUUCGGGUUGUAAAGCACUUUCAGCGGGGAGGAAGGCGGUGAGGUUAAUAACCUCAUCGAUUGACGUUACCCGCAGAAGAAGCACCGGCUAACUCCGUGCCAGCAGCCGCGGUAAUACGGAGGGUGCAAGCGUUAAUCGGAAUUACUGGGCGUAAAGCGCACGCAGGCGGUCUGUCAAGUCGGAUGUGAAAUCCCCGGGCUCAACCUGGGAACUGCAUUCGAAACUGGCAGGCUAGAGUCUUGUAGAGGGGGGUAGAAUUCCAGGUGUAGCGGUGAAAUGCGUAGAGAUCUGGAGGAAUACCGGUGGCGAAGGCGGCCCCCUGGACAAAGACUGACGCUCAGGUGCGAAAGCGUGGGGAGCAAACAGGAUUAGAUACCCCGGUAGUC